UCUCCGUAGGUGAACCUGCGGAGGGAUCAUUACAGAGUUCAUGCCCUACCGGGUAGAUCUCCCACCCUAUGUUAUUAUUACUUUGUUGCUUUGGCGGGCCGUUAGGCUCCGGCCCGACUACCGGCCCCGGCUGGUAAGCGCCCGCCAGAGGACCCAAACCCCUGAAUAUUAGUGUCGUCUGAGUACUAUAUAAUAGUUAAAACUUUCAACAACGGAUCUCUUGGUUCUG
rnacentral:misc_RNA from 1 species